rnacentral:rRNA from 1 species
AUUGAACGCUGGCGGCAGGCCUAACACAUGCAAGUCGAACGAGUGGCGGACGGGUGAGUAAUGUCUGGGAAACUGCCCGAUGGAGGGGGAUAACUACUGGAAACGGUAGCUAAUACCGCAUACCAUCUGAUGUGCCCAGAUGGUCUUAGCUAGUAGGUGGGGUAACGGCCCACCUAGGCGACGAUCCCUAGCUGGUCUGAGAGGAUGAACCGCCAAACUGGAACUGUGCCACGGUCCAGACUCCUACGGGAGGCAGCAGUGGGGAAUAUUGCAAAAUGGGCGCAAGCCUGAUGCAGCCAUGCCGCGUGUAUGAAGAAGGCCUUCGGGUUGUAAAGUACUUUCAGCGAGGAGGCGUUACCCGCAGAAGAAGCACCGGCUAACUCCGUGCCAGCAGCCGCGGUAAUAC